AACGCGAAGAACCUUACCUACCCUUGACAUGUCAGGAAUCCCGUAGAGAUAUGGGAGUGCCGCAAGGAACCUGAACACAGGUGCUGCAUGGCUGUCGUCAGCUCGUGUCGUGAGAUGUUGGGUUAAGUCCCGCAACGGGCGCAACCCUUGUCAUUAGUUGCCAUCAUUUAGUUGGGCACUCCAAUGAGACUGCCGGUGACAAACCGGAGGAAGGUGGGGAUGACGUCAAGUCCUCAUGGCCCUUAUGGGUAGGGCUUCACACGUCAUACAAUGGUCGGUACAGAGGGUUGCCAAGCCGCGAGGUGGAGCCAAUCCCAGAAAGCCGAUCGUAGUCCGGAUCGUAGUCUGCAACUCGACUACGUGAAGUCGGAAUCGCUAGUAAUCGCGGAUCAGAAUGCCGCGGUGAAUACGUUCCCGGGUCUUGUACACACCG
rnacentral:rRNA from 1 species